GUGGGGAGCAAACAGGAUUAGAUACCCUGGUAGUCCACGCCCUAAACGAUGCUGACUAGUUGUUGGGAAUUUACAUUCUCAGUAACGUAGCUAACGCGUGAAGUCAGCCGCCUGGGGAGUACGGUCGCAAGAUUAAAACUCAAAGGAAUUGACGGGGACCCGCACAAGCGGUGGAUGAUGUGGAUUAAUUCGAUGCAACGCGAAAAACCUUACCUACCCUUGACAUGUCACUAACGAAGUAGAGAUACAUUAGGUGCCCGUAAGGGAAAGUGAACACAGGUGCUGCAUGGCUGUCGUCAGCUCGUGUCGUGAGAUGUUGGGUUAAGUCCCGCAACGAGCGCAACCCUUGUCUUUAGUUGCUACGAAAGAGCACUCUAAAGAGACUGCCGGUGAUAAACCGGAGGAAGGUGGGGAUGACGUCAAGUCCUCAUGGCCCUUAUGGGUAGGGCUUCACACGUCAUACAAUGGUGCGUACAGAGGGUUGCCAACCCGCGAGGGGGAGCUAAUCUCUUAAAACGCAUCGUAGUCCGGAUCGUAGUCUGCAACUCGACUACGUGAAGCUGGAAUCGCUAGUAAUCGCGGAUCAGCAUGUCGCGGUGAAUACGUUCCCGGGUCUUGUACACACCGCCCGUCACACCAUGGGAGUGGGUUUUGCCAGAAGCAGUUAGCCUAACCGCAAGGGGGGCGAUUGCCACGGCAGGGUUCAUGACUGGGGUG
rnacentral:rRNA from 1 species